rnacentral:rRNA from 1 species
CCUACGGGAGGCAGCAGUGGGGAAUAUUGCACAAUGGGCGCAAGCCUGAUGCAGCCAUGCCGCGUGUGUGAAGAAGGCCCUAGGGUUGUAAAGCACUUUCAGCGAGGAGGAAAGGGUGUAGGUUAAUACCCUGCAUCUGUGACGUUACUCGCAGAAGAAGCACCGGCUAACUCCGUGCCAGCAGCCGCGGUAAU